rnacentral:tRNA from 1 species
GGUUAGAUAAUGGUAAUGUUCAAGAUUGCAAAUCUUGCAAUGAUGGUUUAAUUCCGUCUCUAGUCU